UAACUGGCCAGCCCUCCUGCCCCAGCCCCAGGGAGUGCUGGGAUUACAGAUGUAUGUUAUGUCACUGGGCUAGAAUAAUCUCUUAGCAACUGUGUGUUGAUGGCCAUGAUGGCAGAAUGUAAGUCUGAGAGAGAGCAUUCAUUGAGAGCAUGCUCUGUGUCAGCCAUUGUGGUGAAUACUGUAUAUCUCUAGUACCUUUUCAUCUUCACCUCAUGCCCAGGAGGGGCUACGCAGGGAUGAGCACAGUGAUCCGAAAACACAAGGUUUGGUGAGAGGCAAAGAUGGAGCUGGGCUCGAGCUUUGGUGGAAUUUGAAUAAGCAAAAGGGACAACAUAUGAUUUGUUUUAUUUGGUACCCAAAGGUCUGUGCAUUGAACUUCAGCUGUAAGGGAUUCAGUACUUUGAGUGUAUUACUGCAGCUAUGAAGAAGGAGCCCCAUAAUGAGGAGGAGCUGCUUCCACGGGGAUCUGUUGUCUUCCAAGGACUUCAUUCAAGCAUCCUCGUUCUGUUUCUGAGCAAACCAGCUAGUGAGGUGUGACUACUGACUGGCACUUCUCUUCCGUUUGAGAUGAAGGAAACGCCACAGAGAACUGGAUUCUCUUGCUCAACACCAUGCAGCUUACCCCAUGCAGCACCUGACUCUAAUCCAGUUUGCUGGUCCAGGGGAUUGAACCCAGGUUCUCUCACUUGCUAAGCACUGGCUCUAUCAUUCACCUACACCCCCGGUCUGGCUUCACAAAUUUAUAUAAAUUCCUUUUGAGAUAUGUUACUAGAAUGCCCUUGACAUUAUGGCCAAUAUACAGGUAAGUAUUUGAAACAAGUGCCAUAUUCAAUCAGUAAGUACAUUGAUUAGGUAAUCGAGUACAAACGGAAUGUAGGUCAGAAUUAUACAAUUUCUUUUCC